CAAUAGCGUAUAUUAAAGUUGUUGCAGUUAAAAAGCUCGUAGCUGGAUUUCUGGUGGGAGCGAUCGGUCUGGCGCUUAGCGCGAGUACUUGCAUCGUCUCCGGCCAUCCUUGGGGAAAGUCUGUCUGGCAUUAAGUUGUCGGGCAGAGGAUCCUCAUCGUUUACUGUGAAAAAAUUAGAGUGUUCAAAGCAGGCUUAUGCCGUUGAAUAUAUUAGCAUGGAAUAAUAAGAUAGGACUUUGGUACUAUUUUGUUGGUUUGCGCACCAAAGUAAUGAUUAAUAGGGACAGUUGGGGGUAUUCGUAUUCCGUUGUCAGAGGUGAAAUUCUUGGAUUUACGGAAGACGAACUACUGCGAAAGCAUUUACCAAGGAUGUUUUCAUUAA
rnacentral:rRNA from 1 species